UUUUGCUGAAUGCUUCUAUGAAAUUAGAUAGUGAUGUAGGCUUUUGUAUACCUGCCGAAACCGGCGAUGUUUAUUUGUUAUAUAGGAAAGGCAAAUGUCUCACAAAAUGAAGGGUCAAGUAAAGUGGUUUAACGAAUCUAAAGGCUUUGGUUUCAUCACUCCUUCUGAUGGUAGCAAAGAUGUAUUCGUUCACUUUUCUGCCAUUCAAGGAAAUGGAUUCAAAACCCUGGCUGAAGGGCAAAAUGUAGAAUUUACCAUUGAAGAUGGAUCCAAAGGUCCAGCAGCAGCAAAUGUAACUGCUAUUUAAGAUUAGAAAUGGAUUUCUUGAAGCCUGUUGUGUAAGCUGCAGGCUUCUUU
rnacentral:sRNA from 1 species